UACGUAGGGGGCUAGCGUUGUCCGGAUUUAUUGGGCGUAAAGAGCGUGUAGGCGGCCAGGUAGGUCUGCUGUGAAAACUCGAGGCUCAACCUCGAGACGUCGGCGGAAACCAUCUGGCUAGAGUCCGGAAGAGGAGAGUGGAAUUCCUGGUGUAGCGGUGAAAUGCGCAGAUAUCAGGAAGAACACCCGUGGCGAAGGCGGUUCUCUGGAAAUUAUCUGACGCUGAGAAGCGAAAGCGUGGGGAGCAAACAGG
rnacentral:rRNA from 1 species